rnacentral:lncRNA from 1 species
UAGAUUCGAACCAUUUAGUUUCGCUGUGUUGUAACAGAGACACGAAUGAUAUACUUAAUUAUUAUUAUUAUCUAAUUAUAUAUAAUUAUUAUAUAAAUAAAAUGUAGUAGACUCAUAGUGGGCUAAUUCAUGAAUUGAAUCAAAUGGGGCCUUUUAAUUUAACUAAUUUGAACUUAAUUAAACUAAAGAGUCACGCUCUUUAAACGCCCUAUAAGAAAA